rnacentral:rRNA from 1 species
UAAAUUAAUAGGCCCAAAAAAGGCCAUCCCCCCUAACUUCCCCUCUCCGCUGGGGGGGUGGAUGCGGAAGGAUCAUUAGUGAUUGCCUUUAUAGGCUUAUAACUAUAUCCACUUACACCUGUGAACUGUUCUACUACUUGACGCAAGUCGAGUAUUUUUACAAACAAUGUGUAAUGAACGUCGUUUUAUUAUAACAAAAUAAAACUUUCAACAACGGAUCUCUUGGCUCUCGCAUCGAUGAAGAACGCAGCGAAUUGCGAUAAGUAAUGUGAAUUGCAGAAUUCAGUGAAUCAUCGAAUCUUUGAACGCAGCUUGCGCUCUCUGGUAUUCCGGAGAGCAUGCCUGUUUCAGUGUCAUGAAAUCUCAACCACUAGGGUUUCCUAAUGGAUUGGAUUUGGGCGUCUGCGAUUUCUGAUCGCUCGCCUUAAAAGAGUUAGCAAGUUUGACAUUAAUGUCUGGUGUAAUAAGUUUCACUGGGUCCAUUGUGUUGAAGCGUGCUUCUAAUCGUCCGCAAGGACAAUUACUUUGACUCUGGCCUGAAAUCAGGUAGGACUACCCGCUGAACUUAAGCAUAUCAAGCGUGGGGGGAAAGAGGCACAGGAUGGCCUUUUAGGCUUAA